rnacentral:tRNA from 1 species
AGGAGCCAGAGGGCUUCGAUCCCACAGUUUACUAGUUAACAGCUAGUACGCCUGACCAGUGGCACUGACCCC